rnacentral:rRNA from 1 species
AUGCCUACGGGGCGCAGCAGUGGGGAAUAUUGGGCAAUGGGCGCAAGCCUGACCCAGCAACGCCGCGUGAAGGAAGAAGGCUUUCGGGUUGUAAACUUCUUUUCUUGGGGACGAAGAAAGUGACGGUACCCAAGGAAUAAGCCACGGCUAACUACGUGCCAGCAGCCGCGGCAAUACGUAGGUGGCAAGCGUUAUCCGGAUUUAUUGGGUGUAAAGGGCGUGUAGGCGGGAUUGCAAGUCAGAUGGGAAAUCCA